rnacentral:rRNA from 1 species
UACGUAGGCAGCAAGCGUUAAUCGGAAUUACUGGGCGUAAAGCGUGCGUAGGCGGUUCGUUAAGUCUGUUGUGAAAGCCCCGGGCUCAACCUGGGAAUGGCAAUGGAUACUGGCGAGCUAGAGUGUGUCAGAGGAUGGUGGAAUUCCCGGUGUAGCGGUGAAAUGCGUAGAGAUCGGGAGGAACAUCAGUGGCGAAGGCGGCCAUCUGGGACAACACUGACGCUGAGGCACGAAAGCGUGGGGGAGCAAACAGG